rnacentral:rRNA from 1 species
UAGUCCACGCCGUAAACGAUGGAUACUAGCUGUUUGAACUUCGGUUUGAGUGGCUAAGCGAAAGUGAUAAGUAUCCCACCUGGGGAGUACGGUCGCAAGACUGAAACUCAAAGGAAUUGACGGGGCCCGCACAAGCGGUGGAGCAUGUGGUUUAAUUCGAUGAUACGCGAGGAACCUUACCAGGGCUUAAAUGUAGAUUGACAGGCUGAGAGAUCGGCUUUUCUUCGGACAAUUUACAAGGUGUUGCAUGGUUGUCGUCAGCUCGUGCCGUGAGGUGUCAGGUUAAGUCCUAUAACGAGCGCAACCCCUGUUGUUAGUUGCCAGCGAGUAAUGUCGGGAACUCUAGCAAGACUGCCGGUGCAAACCGUGAGGAAGGUGGGGAUGACGUCAAAUCAUCACGGCCCUUACGUCCUGGGGCCACACACGUGCUACAAUGGGUAGGGGACA